rnacentral:rRNA from 1 species
CGCUAGCGGGAUGCCUUACACAUGCAAGUCGAACGGCAGCGCGGACUUCGGUCUGGCGGCGAGUGGCGAACGGGUGAGUAAUGUAUCGGAACGUGCCUAGUAGCGGGGGAUAACUACUCGAAAGAGUAGCUAAUACCGCAUACGCCCUACGGGGGAAAGGGAGGGAUCGCAAGACCUCUCACUAUUAGAGCGGCCGAUAUCGGAUUAGCUAGUUGGUGAGGUAAAGGCUCACCAAGGCGACGAUCCGUAGCUGGUUUGAGAGGACGACCAGCCACACUGGGACUGAGACACGGCCCAGACUCCUACGGGAGGCAGCAGUGGGGAAUUUUGGACAAUGGGGGAAACCCUGAUCCAGCCAUUCCGCGUGUGCGAUGAAGGCCUUCGGGUUGUAAAGCACUUUUGGCAGGAAAGAAAUCGCAUCAAUUAAUACUUGGUGUGGAUGACGGUACCUGCAGAAUAAGCACCGGCUAACUACGUGCCAGCAGCCGCGGUAAUACGUAGGGUGCAAGCGUUAAUCGGAAUUACUGGCGUAAAGCGUGCGCAGCGGUUCGGAAAGAGAGGUGUGAAAUCCCAGGCUCAACCUUGGACUGCACUUUUAACUACCCAACUAGAGUAUGUCAGAAGGGGGUGGGAAUUCCGCGUGUAGCAGUGAAAUGCGUAGAUAUUGCCGAGGAACACCGAUGCGAAAGGCAGCCCCUGGGA